UCUUAGUCCAGCCUCGGCGUAGGAGAGGCGUUAGCGCUGGUUCUCUCGCGACCUACUAAGCCGUCACUGGAGGAGCCACAAUCAUUAGGUUGAUGAGUGGCGCAUUCGGAAAGAGAAAGAGAUGUCUGGUGUACAUCGCAUGACAAACACAUCGCGUGACGCCUGCAUGGCUGACUGCCUGGUCGUUCCGCCAUGCAACUCGCCCAACUUCCUGGAUAGCUGUGCUUCAAGCCUGUGCGGUAAAGGCAUACAGAAAUAGUGUCAGUGCAUUAUCAAUGCGAACGACCAACAGAGCGUCCCCAUUUGAUAUUUGUGUACUUCAAAAUAUAAAGCGACAUAGGAUACUAAAUGAAAAAUAUAUUCAAGUCAAACAAUUAUUUUAGACUGAUUCAUUAAGUGUUGGCACUAGUGUAAUGUAGUUGUUCUAAACGAGUACUGCGUGCACAGCUUGCGACGAUGGCCGAGGAUGUGUCUAUUCAGUUGGACUUCAGCCCCAUCAGCAUCGACACGCAAUACUUGACGCUGAACCAUGCAAUUAACUGGCUCAUUAAUCUGGAGUGGUGGGAAUGGCUCAUUCUUCUGAAGAUUGGCUUCGUGUUUUGGGUUCUUAACGUCACUGUCAUCCUGCCCUCGCUUUACAUGCAGGAAAAUAGUGGUAAUAACCAAGCUGCCUUGUACAGGUGCUGCUGUACACCGACGAGAUGACGUCACGCAAGUUGCAGCCAACUCUUCCCAAUUUCGUCGAGAUCUCCAGGAUGCUUCGUCUCGGAAAAACUAAGUACUCCUUCAUGCAGCGGGAGGAGUCUCAUAUAUAGAGGAAAGGAAGAAAUGCGUAACAGAGAGGAACAGUCAAGUGGAGGAGACAGCAGAGGAACGCGUAGCCAUAUCAUGAUCCCAGCCCCAAGGAACAGAAUCUUCCUUACUUGUCCGGAGUAUGUAUAUAUACAUAUUUGUAUAUAUGUAUAUAUAUAUAUAUAUAUAUAUAUAUAUAUAUAUGUGUGUGUGUGUGUGUGUGUGUGUGUGUGUGUGUGUGUGUGUGUAUGUGUGUGUGUUUAUUUUAUUUAAAAUAUUUUGAAACUGUAUUCACUUUUUUUUGUGUUCAAUUAAAUUUUGUUAGAGCGGUUCGUUAACUGUUUUGUUCGUUGUUAUUUUAUAAAUAUAAUACAGACUCAUCCCUUUGUAUAUAUUUUAUAACCAAACGCGCAUGGAAAUGAUUUAACACCUUUUUUCCUUUA